CAGGGGCUGGCGACCGGCAAACCGGUGCGGAACACGUACGCAACCUUCCUUUAACUGGAAGAUAGCCCACCGAAAGGUGGAUUAAUACUCCAUAACAUAUUGAAGAGGCAUCUCUUUGAUAUUAAAGCUCCGGCGGUUAAAGAUGGGCGUGCGUCUGAUUAGGUAGUUGGCGGGGUAACGGCCCACCAAGCCUUCGAUCAGUAGCUGAUGUGAGAGCAUGAUCAGCCACACGGGCACUGAGACACGGGCCCGACUCCUACGGGAGGCAGCAGUAAGGAAUAUUGGUCAAUGGACGCAAGUCUGAACCAGCCAUGCCGCGUGGAGGAUGAAGGCCCUCUGGGUUGUAAACUUCUUUUCUUUGGGACGAAACCCCUGUUUCUACGGGGACUGACGGUACCAGAGGAAUAAGCACCGGCUAACUCCGUGCCAGCAGCCGCGGUAAUACGGAGGGUGCAAGCGUUAUCCGGAUUCACUGGGUUUAAAGGGAGCGUAGGUGGGCUUUUAAGUCAGUGGUGAAAUCUUUGGGCUUAACCCGAAAACUGCCAUUGAUACUAUUAGUCUUGAAUUCUCUGGAGGUAAGCGGAAUAUGUCAUGUAGCGGUGAAAUGCUUAGAUAUGACAUAGAACACCCAUUGCGAAGGCAGCUUACUACGGAGACAUUGACACUGAGGCUCGAAAGCGUGGGGAUCAAACAGGAUUAGAUACCCUGGUAGUCCACGCCCUAAACGAUGAUUACUCGACAUUAGCGAUAUUACAGUUAGUGUCUAAGCGAAAGCAUUAAGUAAUCCACCUGGGAAGUACGACCGCAAGGUUGAAACUCAAAGGAAUUGGCGGGGGUCCGCACAAGUGGUGGAGCAUGUGGUUUAAUUCGAUGAUACGCGAGGAACCUUACCUGGGCUAGAAUGCUGGGAGACCGCAGGUGAAAGCCUGUUUUGUAGCAAUACACUGCCA
rnacentral:rRNA from 1 species